rnacentral:rRNA from 1 species
CAGUCGCCACGGUAAUACGGAGGGUGCAAGCGUUAUCCGGAUUCACUGGGUUUAAAGGGUGCGUAGGCGGAUCUGUAAGUCAGUGGUGAAAUCUCCAGGCUUAACCUGGAAACUGCCGUUGAUACUAUAGGUCUUGAAUUUUGUGGAGGUUAGCGGAAUAUGUCAUGUAGCGGUGAAAUGCAUAGAUAUGACAUAGAACACCAAUUGCGAAGGCAGCUGGCUACACAACUAUUGACGCUGAGGCACGAAAGCGUGGGGAUCAAACAGGAUUAGAUACCCGCGUAGUCCCUGUCUCUUAUAA